rnacentral:lncRNA from 1 species
AAGCCCACUAUGGUUUGGGAUUUCCUGCGUGGAUGAAAAUAAAAGGGGUGAGUUUGGGGAAACUCAGUAUGUAAGGAAAACCCAUUCAAAGCCCAAGUCAGCUCAAGCCUAUUGGGCCUAAGCCCAUUCAGGUAACAGUGGUACUAGACCAGAGCCCUUUUCAGAUUACAAUAAACUGGGCCUUAGCCCCUUAUUCAGAUAACAGUAUGGCUCAUAGGCCCAUUUCAAAAUACAUGCAACAUCAAUAAACAUAUGCAAGCCCAUUUGGGGAGACUACUCAACCCACCAACCACUACACUCCACCCGUACC